rnacentral:lncRNA from 1 species
AAGUUCUGGUCUCAGCUUGAAGAUAAAGAGCAAGGUUGUUUUCUUAAAGCUUUCCAUAUGCUGGAUUCAAGGAAGGGAAGGGGCACAUUAGCAUAUCUUACCUCUGACCUUGGUGUGCCACACAGUGAACAGAAAAAUAAGCCCCAACAAUAUUUUAUUGUUUCUUAUCUGCUCAAAAGAAUGGGAAGGAUAUCUCUGGCAAUGGAGACUAUACA